rnacentral:lncRNA from 1 species
CUCCACCAGAAGGAGAAUAAUAUGCCCAAGGAAUCCAACCUCCAACUUUUCAGUGAAAUAUUUGCUAUAAGCUAUAAUUUCCGUUCUGAGGAUCUAUCAUAGAAAAUUUUAACAUAGAUCUUCCAGAUAAGAACUCAGCCCAACAAACACCUUGAUUUCAGCCUUGUAAAACCCCAAGCAGAGAACCAACACGCGAUGCCAGAUUUCUGACCUACCAUACCGUGAGCCAAUAAAAUAGAUGAGAAAACUGAGACAUGGAGAGAUUACUUCUCUACAGGUCUUUGAUUGGAAACAGAAUGAGCAAGACAAAGGAGAUCAGGAUGUGAUCUAUAAGAUUGGAAGAGAGUGACCUGGAAAGGGGAGUCAACCAGUGCCAGCAAGG